AACAAUCGAUGAUAUCAUCGAAGUCUCCCCACCUCUAGCGAAGGAAAGUCGCGAUUUUAGCGUAGUAACCAAAUUCGUACCAACUUCAGACCUAAAACGAGUGUUUAACUUAGUGGCCGCGCUAAAACGGGGCGAACGCGCUGCAACUUUUUUGGCGAGUGCUGAAACUGCAAACCUAGCCGAAAAGACGUGAGUGGGACAAGGUGUCGCGUGACGAAGUGUGUGCGCUGCAUUUGUUUACGAUUCUUCGGCGGGGAAAGAGGAAGAGCACACGCAACGUGCAACAUUGUUUGUGUGGGUGUUUGUUUGUUUGUGUGACGAAAAUACAACAAGUGCAAGCAACAAUAAUAACAGCAACAACAAAUAAAACAACAGCAAUUUAUAUUUGAAACCAGACAGCAACAACAACAACAACAAUAAGGGGAGUGAAAGAGCAAAAAAAUAGAGAGAGAGGGAGCUGUUGUUGUUGCCUCACACUGAUAGCAAUGAUUAGUGAAGAAUCCGGCGCUCCAACAAGAAAUCAAGUAUGACGGAGGAAGUAACCGGCGAUUGGAGCUAUUACGUGUAUAUAUCGCUAACGUUGGUUCCAGUCUAUUUGGCAUUUCGGCUCAUUAAGUCACUGGGCUGGCAGCUCUUCGUCAACAACUGAGCAAACACACAGAAC